rnacentral:tRNA from 1 species
GGGGAUUUAGCUCAGCGGUAGAGCGCUUGCCUAGCAAGCGCGAGGCCCUGGGUUCAGUCCCCAGCUCCG